AUUGAACGCUGGCGGCAUGCCUUACACAUGCAAGUCGAACGGCAGCACGGGAGCAAUCCUGGUGGCGAGUGGCGAACGGGUGAGUAAAGUAUCGGAACGUGCCCAGUCGUGGGGGAUAACGUAGCGAAAGUUACGCUAAUACCGCAUACGAUCUAUGGAUGAAAGCAGGGGAUCGCAAGACCUCGCGCGAUUGGAGCGGCCGAUAUCAGAUUAGGUAGUUGGUGGGGUAAAGGCUCACCAAGCCGACGAUCUGUAGCUGGUCUGAGAGGACGACCAGCAACACUGGGACUGAGACACGGCCCAGACUCCUACGGGAGGCAGCAGUGGGGAAUUUUGGACAAUGGGCGAAAGCCUGAUCCAGCCAUGCCGCGUGCAGGAUGAAGGCCUUCGGGUUGUAAACUGCUUUUGUACGGAACUAAAAGGUUUGGCCUAAUAAGCUGAGCUCAUGACGGUACCGUAAGAAUAAGCACCGGCUAACUACGUGCCAGCCGCCGCCGUAA
rnacentral:rRNA from 1 species